CUUAUUCCAUUGCAGGUUUGGCUGCUUUGUCACUUUUGUGUCAGUAGGUGGCAGAGAGGACACACGCUAUGUCUACAUUCAGUGUUCCGACAUAUGAGCAUCUGAAUGAUUAGUAGCCUAACGUC
ensembl:snoRNA Gm26352 predicted gene, 26352